UACGGAGGGUGCAAGCGUUAAUCGGAAUUACUGGCGUAAAGCGCACGUAGGUGGUUUACUAAGCCAGCUGUGAAAUCCCCGGGCUCAACCUGGGCACUGCAGUUGGAACUGGUAAGCUAGAGUAUGGUAGAGGGGUGUGGAAUUCCAGGUGGAGCGGUGAAAUGCGUAGAGAUCUGGAAGAACACCAAAGGCGAAGGCAGCAUCCUGGGAAGUAACUGACGCUCAUGUGCGAAAGCUAGGGGAGCGAACGGG
rnacentral:rRNA from 1 species